CCAGCACCCCGAGUGGUCGGGACGAUUAUUGGGCCUAAAGCAUCCGUAGCCGGUUUUACAAGUCCUCCGUUAAAUCCAACUGCUUAACAGAUGGGCCGCGGAGGAUACUAUAAGACUAGGAGGCAGGAGAGGCAAGCGGUACUCAGUGGGUAGGGGUAAAAUCCGUUGAUCCAUUGAAGACCACCAGUGGCGAAGGCGGCUUGCCAGAAUGCGCUCGACGGUGAGGGAUGAAAGCUGGGGGAGCAAACCGGAUUAGAUACCCGGGUAGUCCCAGCUGUAAACGAUGCAGACUCGGUGAUGGACUAGCUUCAUGCUAGUCCAGUGCCGCAGGGAAGCCGUUAAGUCUGCCGCCUGGGUAGUACGGUCGCAAGGCUG
rnacentral:rRNA from 1 species